CGCACACACAAAAGCACAGAUAGACGGACGGACACGCAGAGACACUGCAGCCACAAACAUCAUCUACUUCCAACCUCAACUCUGUGAUGGUCUCCAACCUACAGAGACACCUGACUCCAGCACAGAAGCAGCUGAGGGCAGAGACUUUACAGCCCCAUCCAGAGAACCCACACCUUUACAAAAGCACUCCAGGCAUAACAGGAGCAAAUCAAGGAAUUUUGGAGCUGGUUAAGAACAGUGCAGUCAUCUUGUUCAUGACCUUCACCAUUUGUAGGACAGGCAAAACCCAGAAUAUAUCACGUUUGAACAACUUCCCAGCUAGUCAAGACUAGCAGAAGGUGAGGCAGAUGUAGCCAUCAUUCCCUUUCUUCUAGCAGCUAUAUGCAAAUUUCAUAAUUUUUCACUUAGGCAGAGCUUGUUAACCUUCACACAAGGCCACUCUUGGAUUUUCCAUUUCAAUCUGUUUUACAUAAAAUGUACAUGUCAUAUUUAUAACUUUUUGUGUUACUCUUGGUCCAGCCGAUGAGGAAUAUAAGGCCUCUUCUUGCAGCUACAUAUUCUGUAACUCGUAUGCAAACCUCAUAAGGUUACUCAUAAUGUAUUUCACAGUUGGCCAAAUCAACAUAAUCUUAAAAACCAGAGAGGCUGUUCCUGCUAUUACAAUGCCUUUUCAUACUGUAAUAAAGUCACUAUACCAACCCCUGUAAUUGUGAGCUGAAUAAUUCAGGUGUUUUGAGGUGUCUGAUUUCUCAUUAAAGCUAAACUGAAGUCUUCGACAGAGGCCUCUUAUUAAAGAUAGGUAACAGAUACAGCACAAUGUAACCAGGUGGCCAGUGAGCAGCACUUCCAUUUGCUGCUGUAUGGAAUGUGUUGCUGCCAUGUGUCAGUCAAUGGGCAGCUUAUGUAGGGCACAACAAAGCUGGGCUCUCAUCUCUGUUGCAUGGAUGUUGCUUUCACCCCACUGACACUACUGUCACCAAGGUAAGUUUGACCUCAGGGUUUGCUUUUGAUUUUUGUGGCACCUUGUUUUGUGUUGGUUUGUUGGCUUUUUUUCUAGAAUUAAUCUUUAACCUCUUUGUUAGCUUGGUUAUGAAAUCUUUUAUCCAUAACAUUGAUUUAAUCCAAUCCCAUCUACAGAAUCUUAUUACUUCAGGCAAUGAUAACAUGCUGAUUAUAUAUAUAAGCUUGCGCUUUGCAAGAUUUUUUUGUAAGCCCAUUAAGUUUGCAUAAGGAAGCAUGGCACAAGCACAGAGAUGAAGCCAACCUGUCUUUAGGCAGAUGGGACUCCUAACAUUUUCUAGUUAUCACACUGUUUUGUGAUUAGCCAUUUAAAAAAUAUAUAUGUAUAAAAAAAAAACAACC